ACUAUUUUGACAGAAAAAUGUGAUGAUUUUAGAAGUCGUUAAUGUAUAAUUUAAGUUAUAUAAAUAGUA
rnacentral:tRNA from 1 species